GCCGGGCGUGGUGGCUCAAGCCUGUAAUCCCAGCACUUUGGGAGGCUGAGACGGGAGGAUCACGAGGUCAGGAGAUCGAGACCAUCCCGGCUAACCCGGUUAAACCCUGUCUCUACUAAAAAAAAAAAAAAANNNNNNNNNNUUUUUUUUUUUUUUUAGUAGAGACAGGGUUUAACCGGGUUAGCCGGGAUGGUCUCGAUCUCCUGACCUCGUGUUCCGCCCGUCUCAG
rfam:Chlorocebus sabaeus isolate 1994-021 chromosome 11, whole genome shotgun sequence.